GGGGGGGAGGAGGGAAAAAAAGGUGGCUUUGGGGCCUUUUUUUGAGGGUGCUGGGUGGAGGAGAGGGAGGUGCCUGUGAGUGCCACCGCUGCCGGAAAGCUCCCCGCUGCCUGUAUUGCUCAGCUGAAAGCUCAGAGCUCCUGACCCCGCUGCAAAGCGCCCGGUAAAGCACCUGCAGCAGCACCGAGGCGGGGGCCUGCCCUGCGCCACCUCCAUGCCCAGCCCCAGAGCCCUGGCACCUCCCGGCCCUGCUUCCCGUGGGGGGCUGGCAGGGGAGGGGGCACCCAUGGGGCACCCACCCACCCCAGCACCCACCCCAGCACCCAGCGAGGCCCCUGCCCGCACUUAGCACCCCGCGUGAGCAGCCGGGUGCCGUGAGAGCCGGGCACAGCAAGGGUUAAGCCGCGGGACUAACCCAGGGAAACUCGAAAAGAAACCAAAGGGACUGAUUUCCUAGAAAUCCACUUCCCCUACGUCACCGCUGCCUCCCCUGACAGGCAGCGAGGCGCAGCCCAGCGCUGGGCCCCCACCGGGCAGGGGCAUCAGGAACCCCCACGGCUCUGAGCGUUGCUGCGUCAGCUGCCAGGGCUGUCAUCGGGUCCCUGCUGCGACCCCGUGGAUCCCCAGCAAAACCCCACUGGUGUCUGCGGCCACUGCCCUGGAUCCCCCCACAGACCCCUGGGUCUCUCCUGUGACCCUCCCCCUGGAUCUGAGCCUCCAAAUAAAGGCGUCGGAUCCUGUUGAUCCUGUUGUGGUUUAAGCUGAGCCCCGCGCAGCCGCUUGCUCACUGCCCCCGUGGGGUGAGGCAGAGAAUCAGGAAGCGAUGAUGUAUGAAACCAUAAAAGUGAUUACUGGGGCCACUGCUGGAGUAGGAGUGGUGCUCUUUGGCUUCCCGGCAGUCGUCUCUGCGCUGGGGUUUAAGGCGGCCGGCAUCGCCGCGGGGUCCAUAGCUGCCAAGAUGAUGUCGGCGGCUGCCAUAGCCAACAACGGAGGAGUGGCUGCC
rnacentral:lncRNA from 1 species